rnacentral:rRNA from 1 species
GAUGAACGCUGGCGGCGUGCCUAAUACAUGCAAGUCGAGCGAACGGACGAGAAGCUUGCUUCUCUGAUGUUAGCGGCGGACGGGUGAGUAACACGUGGAUAACCUACCUAUACGACUGGGAUAACUUCGGGAAACCGGAGCUAAUACCGGAUAAUAUUUUGAACCGCAUGGUUCAAAAGUGAAAGACGGUCUUGCUGUCACUUAUAGAUGGAUCCGCGCUGCAUUAGCUAGUUGGUAAGGUAACGGCUUACCAAGGCAACGAUGCAUAGCCGACCUGAGAGGGUGAUCGGCCACACUGGAACUGAGACACGGUCCAGACUCCUACGGGAGGCAGCGGUAGGGAAUCUUCCGCAAUGGGCGAAAGCCUGACGGAGCAACGCCGCGUGAGUGAUGAAGGUCUUCGGAUCGUAAAACUCUGUUAUUAGGGAAGAACAUAUGUGUAAGUAACUGUGCACAUCUUGACGGUACCUAAUCAGAAAGCCACGGCUAACUACGUG